rnacentral:rRNA from 1 species
UUAAUUGAAGAGUUUGAUCAUGGCUCAGAUUGAACGCUGGCGGCAGGCCUAACACAUGCAAGUCGAGCGGUAACAGGGGAAGCUUGCUUCUCGCUGACGAGCGGCGGACGGGUGAGUAAUGUAUGGGGAUCUGCCCGAUAGAGGGGGAUAACCACUGGAAACGGUGGCUAAUACCGCAUAAUCUCUUAGGAGCAAAGCAGGGGAA